rnacentral:sRNA from 1 species
AUGUACCCACGUACACUCCGGUUCCUCCGCGCCGUCCGCACUCACCUGACGACUGCUCGCUACGUUUUGUCAGCC